GUGCCAGCCGCCGCGGUAAUACGGAGGGGGUUAGCGUUGUUCGGAAUUACUGGGCGUAAAGCGCGCGUAGGCGGACAUUUAAGUCAGGGGUGAAAUCCCGGGGCUCAACCCCGGAACUGCCUCCAAAACUAUCGGUCUUGAGUUCGAGAGAGGUGAGUGGAACUCCGAGUGUAGAGGUGAAAUUCGUAGAUAUUCGGAAGAACACCAGUGGCGAAGGCGGCUCACUGGCUCGAUACUGACGCUGAGGUGCGAAAGUGUGGGGAGCAAACAGGAUUAGAAACCCGGUAGUCC
rnacentral:rRNA from 1 species